AGUUUGAGGGAGUACUAGAAUCAGUGGAUCCGAAGGUUCACUCUCAACAGCGUCAUCACUAUCUAUGUUACAGUUUGAUGGCAAUUCUAUGUAACAAAGACUGCACAAUAUGCAACUCUUUCACCUUCUCUUCUCAAGAAGUGAGCCUUGGUCUAACGAUUUCGAGUUCAAGUUAGCUGUGAAUGGAGUCGACCAACGCUUGCUAAGUAGUGGCUAGAGUGAUUGGGAGAAG